CUGAUGAUCCUCUUUUCCAGCUGCUUUACGAAGUUGUACCACCUGUUCUCACGGAGCUUGGAAAGGUGAAGAACCUUUGGCCAAAUGGUGAUGCUCAUAGUGGGGUCUUGCUGAACCACUAUGGUCUAACCGAAGCAAGGUACUACACCGGCGUGCUCUUUGGUGUUUUCAAGGAGUCUUGGUAUCUGCUCUCAGGUAUCUCUAUAUCUACACAAUGAGUAAAUAAGGAAAUAAAAGUCAUCAGGAGGCACAAAAACAUAGUAAAGAAAUGAUUGAAAGACAAUUAAUUUUACUGUCCAACUAUCAAAAAGAACCAAAAAUCCCGAAUUAAGGUGACCGAUCCUGACCAAACCUGUAUAUAAAACCAUCACAAAAGAAACAAACUUACAAGGGCAACUAUUAGCGAUGAGAAAAGUUUGUUAGGAUUCAAAAAAUAUCUUAUUUCUCAUUAAGGAAAAGUUAACUGUACAAAGUGUAUUUAUACAACAACUAUACACGGUUAAGUAAAUAAAUACCAAUGGCUUAAUUU